GGGGCUGCUAUGCUGCAGUCGAGCGACGCAUGCCCAGUUCGUAAGAACAGGGUAUGACGGAGCGGCGAACGGGUGAGUAACACGUGAGCAACCUGCCCCACAGACCGGGAUAGCCCAAGGAAACUUGGAUUAAUACCGGAUUCCCUCGAACAAUCGCAUGGUUGAUCGAGGAAAGGCCUUUGUGCUGUGGGAUGGGCUCGCGGCUUAUCAGCUAGUUGGUGGGGUAAAGGCCUACCAAGGCAUCGACGAGUAGCUGGUCUGAGAGGACGAUCAGCCACACUGGAACUGAGACACGGUCCAGACUCCUACGGGAGGCAGCAGCAGGGAAUCUUGCGCAAUGGGCGAAAGCCUGACGCAGCAACGCCGCGUGGGGGAUGAAGGCCUUCGGGUUGUAAACCCCAUUCAGGAGGGAAGAAAUUGACGGUACCUCCAGAAGAAGGACCGGCCAACUACGUGCCAGCAGCCGCGGUAAUACGUAGGGUCCUAGCGUUAUCCGGAAUCAUUGGGCGUAAAGAGCUCGUAGGCGGUUCAGCAAGUCGGCUGUGAAAGUCCGAGGCUUAACCUCGGAAUUGCAGUCGAUACUGCUGUGACUCGAGUCCGGUAGAGGAGAAUGGAAUUCUCGGUGUAGCGGUGAAAUGCGCAGAUAUCGAGAGGAACACCAGUAGCGAAGGCGGUUCUCUGGGCCGGCACUGACGCUGAGGAGCGAAAGCGUGGGGAGCAAACAGGAUUAGAUACCCUGGUAGUCCACGCCGUAAACGUUGGAUACUAGGUGUGGCGGUUGUACCAACGACUGCCCGUGCCGAAGCUAACGCAUUAAGUAUCCCGCCCUG
rnacentral:rRNA from 1 species